CGGUGAACGGAGGGCCGGUGGGGAACGUGCGGCGCCAGGGACCCAUCACGCAGGACUCGACCGAGGAGGAGAAUUUUAGUCUUUAUACGGUAUACAAAGGCAAGCGCCACCGGGACAACUGCGCCCUCGCGGCUGAGUCCGGCGCCAAGAACGACAGCAGUUCGUCGACCGCCAAUUCGAACCCUGCGGCUGCCGCCUCCUCCUCCAACGGCAACCAGGACGGCACCUCCACGGAGAAUUCCCUCGACGAUUCAGGCACUUUCUUACCGCCAAUCCUAUAAGGUCGUAGGAUCGAUGUAGGAGACGAGAGAGAGAGAGAGACACGAUUGUUUUUUUGUUUUUUUUUUUAGACUAGGAGACAGAGGGAUAGGUUUGUUUGUUUUUUCGAAUGGGAGACAGACAGAUAGAUUAGACACGGAGAUUAGGAGAAACAGAGAGAUUUUUUUUCGAUUAGGAGAAAGAAACUUUUUUUUUUAUUAGGAGACCGACAGAUACUCUUUUUUCAUUCUAUCCCUCGCAACAUUGUUUCCAGUCUCCAGUCUCACGCAAGAUAGAAGGUUUUUUUUCCUUGCGGUGUGUAAUUCCUCCUUUUGAAGACCGUGGAAGGUGUGCUGGUCGACGGGAGUGGAAGAAAUACCUAUGUAACUUGGUUUAGAGCAUCCGAGGUGUUUUGCAACGUGUUAUAUGUUGCAGCCCUUUGGGUGGAGAAAUCAGAUAUAUAUAUAGAUAUAUAUAUGAUAUUAUUUUAUAAACAAUGGUGUUUACAGAUGAAUCAUCCUAUUUUAUGAAUGUAAAGUGACUGAGGACUGUAUUUAGUAAUAAGUGGUUAUAGUAUGAGAAAAAAAACACAUUAUUUACUAGUACAGUGUUGACCUCCUUCAAGAGAUUUUGCCCUCCAGCAAAGUCAUCCAAUGUGCCCUAUGCUGUGUAUAGUACUAUAGUUGCAGUCAACGUAGGUGUGGCCCGUGCCCUCCUCUUCUUCAGGAUCUUCUCUGCUGAAUAAGUAGAUCUUCUCAUAUAAAAAUACCCUUUUCACUUGUCACUCCAACUUCUACAAGAUCCAUUCAACAUACAUUCACACACAGUAUCAAAACUAAUGGUCCCUCAAGUGAUAGAUAUGUAUAUCAUUUUCUCACGUCUCUCUUUUCCUCUUUUCCUCUUUUCUCUCACUUUCUCCUUCUCUCUCACUCUCUUCCUUCUCUUCCUCACUCGUAUCUCCUCUUCCUUCUUCACACAUACACACACGCGCGCUUCAUCUAAACCCACCAUUCUAGCAGGCACGUCCCAGCAUCUUAGUCCUGGCGGGUCUGUACCAUAAAAUCCAUCCAUAUCACCUUCUAACACUACUUACAAUUCCGAACAAACCUCGUUCAUCACACCAGUCAAAUCUGAAGAAAGUACAUCAGUAUAUAGUAUCAAACGCUGUUAAUUUUCUCCCCCCCAGUCUUUCCUGGUUAUUCCUAUUUAAGAGUUUGUUAUUGGCUUUAAACUCGGUAUUGUUUGUGACUUUAAGGGCUAUGCAACAGGCAGCGGUUAAGGUUGCCCCUUUUUAUAUUUAGUGAUUCUGGGUUUAAAAAAAAAAAGUUACGUCACACUUAUCAAAACUGUUAUUUUAUUCUGGUGUUAUCUUGAGUUUUGGAAUAACAUUUUAUGCAUUGUGUGGUGAUGCAAUGUUGUAUAUGUCAGUAUCUUUUCCGUGAAGAUAUUGGUAUAUUACUGCAAGACAUCAAAAGGGAUUAAAAUUAUAUUGUUUUAUGCUAAAAAUAUAUCUCGAUAUAUUAUUUAUACAUAUAAAAAUGAUACUUUCAAACAACUUCUACUCUAGGGUUAAUGAAACACGUUUAAAUAGGAAUUUCUCUUGUGAAACUCAGCCUUAUAUUGGCUCUGUGAUAGCCUAACAUAUCUCUCAUUAAGCCUUACCAAAGAUAUACCAAAGAUGUAUCUUUUUAUAACUCAAGUCAUAUCUUUGUAGAUCCUCGUUACCUCUUAACUGUGUUGUUUCAUCCUUGGGUCUCCUGUAUAUUUUGCUAGAUUAUGUUCUUUGUAGUGAAAGAAUGUAAUGCAAGGGAAAAUUCAGUGUUAAAACCAAGGGAAGUGCGGACCGAUUGGGCAGUGUGGUUUUAUCAUGAAGUAUGUCAGCCUCACCGAAAAAAAAAAUGAGAACGAUAUUAAUAGUCAUGAAAUUAUUGCGUUUUCAUUCGAGAAAGAAAAGGAAUAACAGAGAGAGAGAAAAGAAAGAUAGGAGUGUCUGAUGUGGAAAAAAAUGGAAGGAAAUAUCCGUAAUUUAUUAUUUUAUUUUUCGUUGUGUUUGUACCCCGUUAUGUAAAAGAUUUUAAAUGCAUUUUUGGAUAAUCAUAACGCAAUAAAUAUAACUCGUUUUAAGAUUGCAAAGGAAUACUUUCGAGGGAAUAUAUUGAAGAGAAAAUAAAGAUCUGAAGUAUUUGACGCGAAAAUCGAUCACGCUUAAGCUAUUUCCUUUUUAACUUUUAUCAGCUUGGUUAAAAUGUUCUUGUUGGGAGAACGUUUCGUAAAGGAAAUAUUUAAAGACUAUUCUUUUCUUUUCUUUUUUUUUCGUUAAUAUAAUCAAGGAAUUCGAUUCUUCUUUGAAUUGAAUACCGAGCGUGUCAUUGAACUUAUGAAUGUUUAUCCCAAUACUUCAGAUCUUUCUUUGAUCUUCGUUUCGAGAAUCUAAAAGAAGUGCUCAAGAAGAUGCCAUUGAAUGUGGGGAAAAAAAAUGCAGUUGACAUUUUUUUAGAUAUAAUGAUAGACUUUAGGGAGGAUGUCAGGAACGUCACAUCUAUGUUAAACUUUAGAUAGACUGACAGAAUAUGAAUUUUAUCUUAUUACAUAGUCUAUUUUAGUUACAGAUGAAUUCCAAAAAAAAGCGAAUAAAAGAAAUGCGCAUCUGCAGUUAUGUGUGUUCGGACGGUGUCUUUGGCGAGAGCUUAGUUCAACACAUGUUCACUUGUUGGAAUAACGGAACUAGCCCUGGCACUGUGAACAACUAGUCCUCUUGUGAACAAUCUCUGGUGAUGAUGAUAAUGAGUGGACUAUCAAAGUCGUGUCAUUUGUAUACAAAAAAGUUUAUUGAUUGUGAUUGUAUCAGCGUGCAUUCGGAACAAUCAGGGGAGUUGCUCAGGCGGGGGCAACGCAAAUAGCGAUUGUUUUCUAGGUAAUAAUAAUAAUAAAAAAAACUAUGUGAUAAUUGAAAAAAAACAGGUGAAUAAAUGAAUGAGAGACCCCAGUCUAAUUUUUUUUUGGUUUCUUUAAAAGAAAGAAAGGAGAGGGGGGGUCGUUUCCUCUUGUUACAAAACUAGUUAUAUAUUCGUCAAAAGAAAUAUAGAGAUAUAUUGAAUAUAUUUUCUUGGCGCCUCGAGCAGUGAUGCCAAAGAAUGGUCAGCUAAUUAUCCACUCCUCAGUCAAUCUUUUUCCUUUAACGAGUGUCACCAAAAAAUUUCUUUAAGAAAUGAGAAUAUAAAAAAAAACUAAAUAACAAGAUGCCAUUUUUUGGUGGCAAUCUUGUGGUUAUUAUUUUUUUUCAUGUUUUGAGUUAUGACAGUUAUUUUUAAAAAGAUAAUAAUAAUGAUAAAUACUAAAUAGGUUACAAGUCCCCUCAAUGUAUUACCACAAAAACAAACCUCAACGUUAUUUUUUAUUUCGUUUCCUUUAAUUGUUUCUUUUGUAUAGCAUAGUUUGUAUUUAUGUAUCUUUAACCCUUUUCGUAUGUGUUGUAAUGUAUGAAAUGUCACUGUAUAUUUAUUAAAUUUUCCCUGACUGAUAAGUAAAUAAUGUUAAAUACA